UGGGGAAUAUUGGACAAUGGGGGAAACCCUGAUCCAGCAAUGCCGCGUGAGUGAAGAAGGCCUUAGGGUUGUAAAGCUCUUUUGCCCGCGAAGAUAAUGACGGUAGCGGGAGAAGAAGCCCCGGCUAACUCCGUGCCAGCAGCCGCGGUAAUACGGAGGGGGCUAGCGUUGUUCGGAAUUACUGGGCGUAAAGCGUACGUAGGCGGAUGCGCAAGUUGGGGGUGAAAUCCCGGGGCGUAACCUCGGAAUUGCCCUCAAAACUGCACGUCUUGAGACCGAGAGAGGUAAGGGGAAUUCCUAGUGUAGAGGUGAAAUUCGUAGAUAUUAGGAAGAACACCAGUGGCGAAGGCGCCUUACUGGCUCGGUACUGACGCUGAGGUACGAA
rnacentral:rRNA from 1 species